GGAGAGUAACGCAUGGGAACGUACCCUUUACUACGGAAUAACGCAGGGAAACUUGUGCUACUACCGUAGGUGCCCUUUGGGGGAAAGAUUUAUCGGUAAAGGAUCGGCCCGCGUUGGAUUAGCUAGUUGGUGGGGUAAAGGCCUACCAAGGCGACUAUCCAUAGCUGGUCUGAGAGGAGGAUCAGCCACAUUGGGACUGAGACACGGCCCAAACUCCUACGGGAGGCAGCAGUGGGGAAUAUUGGACAAUGGGCGCAAGCCUGAUCCUGCCAUGCCGCGUGAGUGAUGAAGGCCCUAGGGUUGUAAAGCUCUUUCACCGGACAACAUAAUGACGGUAUCCUGAGAAUAAGCCCCGGCUAACUUCGUGCCAACAGCCGCGGUAAUACAAAGGGGGCUAACGUUGUUCGGAAUUACUGGGCGUAAAGCGCACGUAUGCGGAUCGAUCAGUCAGGGGUGAAAUCCCAUGGCUCAACCCUGGAACUGCCUUUGAUACUGUCGAUCUGGAGUAUGGAACAGGUGAGUGGAAUUCCGAGUGUACAGGUGAAAUUCGUAGAUAUUCUGAGGAACACCAGUGGCGAAUGCGGCUCACUGGUCCAUUACUGACACUGAUGUGCGAAAGCGUGGGGAGCAAACACGAUUAGAUACCCUGGUAGUCCACGCCGUAAACGAUGAAUGUUAGCCGUCGGGCAAUAUACUGUUCUGUGGCGCAGCUAACGCAUUAAACAUUCCGCCUGGGGAGUACGGUCACAAGAUUAAAACUCCAACGAAUUGACAGGGGCCCCCACCAACGGUGGAGCAUGUGGUUUUAUUCUAAGCCACGCGCUAAACCUUACCAGCCCUUCACAUGCCCGGCUACCUCCAAAAAUGCACGAUUCCCUUCCGGGACCCCGACCAAAUGCUGCCUGCUGUCUCA
rnacentral:rRNA from 1 species